CUACGGGGGGCAGCAGUGAGGAAUAUUGCACAAUGGGGGGAACCCUGAUGCAGCAACGCCGCGUGGAGGAUGACGCAUUUCGGUGUGUAAACUCCUUUUAUAUGUCAAGAAAAUGACGGUAGCAUAUGAAUAAGCAACGGCUAACUCCGUGCCAGCAGCCGCGGUAAUACGGAGGGUGCAAGCGUUACUCGGAAUCACUGGGCGUAAAGGACGCGUAGGCGGGUUGGAAAGUCAGGUGUGAAAUCCUACAGCUUAACUGUAGAACUGCACUUGAAACUUCUAAUCUAGAGUAUGGGAGGGGGAGAUGGAAUUAGUGGUGUAGGGGUAAAAUCCGUAGAUAUCACUAGGAAUACCUAAAGCGAAGGCGAUCUCCUGGAACAUUACUGACGCUAAGGCGUGAAAGCGCGGGGAGCAAACAGGAUUAGAUACCCCGGUAGUC
rnacentral:rRNA from 1 species